rnacentral:tRNA from 1 species
GGCUCCGUAGCUUAGAGGAAUAGAAGCGCCCGUCUAGCGAAAUGAGAAUCGUGGGUUCGAUUCCCACCGGAGCAC